UUAACAGUGCCUCCCACUGAACAUUAGAAAAGGAGGAACUGAGAUGCUGAUUGUGGGGAGGAAAUUUCCAAGGUUCCAGGUAUGCAAAGAAGUUGACAGAUAACAGCCAGAGAUAAAAAUCAUGGAGUGAAAAGAGACAAAGAUG
rnacentral:lncRNA from 1 species